rnacentral:rRNA from 1 species
GUGAGCGGAUAACAAUUUCACACAGGAAACAGCUAUGACCAUGAUUACGCCAAGCUCAGAAUUAACCCUCACUAAAGGGACUAGUCCUGCAGGUUUAAACGAAUUCGCCCUUAAAGAUUAAGCCAUGCAUGCCUAAAACGCUUUAAGCGUGAAACCGCGAACGGCUCAUUACAACAGCUAUAAUUUCACUUGAUCUUGAAAAAGCUGAUUGCAACGACUCGCAACAGCAAAAUGUGUCUUUCAAGUAUCUGCUUUAUCAACUUUCAAAUGGUAGGGUAUCUGCCUACCAUGGUGGUGACGGAUAACGGAGGAUCAGGGUUCGACUCCGGAGAAGGGGCCUGAGAAAUGGCCACUACGUCUAAGGAUGGCAGCAGGCGCGCAAAUUACCCACUCUCAGAAUUUGGAGGAGGUAGUGACGAGAAAUAACGAGGUUGAUCUCUUCGGAGGCCAACCAUCGGAAUGGGUACAAUUUAAACCCUUUAACGAGUAUCUGAGAGGGCAUGUCUGGUGCCAG